GGGGUGGUGGCGCUGUUGGCUAGCGCGUAGAGCUAAAACUUGAGUUAUCCUGAGGUCGAGAGUUCGAGCCUCUCUCUCUCCCCA
rnacentral:tRNA from 1 species